ACGAACGCUGGCGGCGUGGAUAAGACAUGCAAGUCGAACGGGAUAUUACUUGUAGCAAUACAAGUGAUGUCCAGUGGCGCAAGGGUGCGUAACACGUGGGCAAUCUGCCAUGAAGUGGGGGAUAGCUCGCCGAAAGGCGAAUUAAUACCGCAUGUGGUUAGCGAAGACAUCUUCGCGACACUAAAGCCGGGGCAACCUGGCGCUUCUUGAUGAGCCCGCGGCCUAUCAGCUAGUUGGUGGGGUAAUAGCCCACCAAGGCGAUGACGGGUAGCUGGUCUGAGAGGACGACCAGCCACACUGAAACUGAGACACGGUCCAGACACCUACGGGUGGCAGCAGUCGAGAAUUUUUCUCAAUGGGCGCAAGCCUGAAGGAGCGACGCCGCGUGGAGGAUGAAGGUCUUCGGAUUGUAAACUCCUGUCAUUGGGGAACAAGCUUGCCGGUUAACUGCCGGUUAAGUCGAUAGUACCCGAAGGGGAAGAGACGGCUAACUCUGUGCCAGCAGCCGCGGUAAUACAGAGGUCUCAAGCGUUGUUCGGAUUCAUUGGGCGUAAAGGGUGCGUAGGCGGCAGCGCAAGUCAGGUGUGAAAUCCCGGGGCUCAACCCCGGAACUGCACUUGAUACUGCAUUGCUAGAGUACUGGAGAGGAGACUGGAAUUUACGGUGUAGCAGUGAAAUGCGUAGAUAUCGUAAGGAAGACCAGUGGCGAAGGCGAGUCUCUGGACAGUUACUGACGCUGAGGCUCGAAGGCCAGGGGAGCAAACGGGAUUAGAUACCCCGGUAGUCCUGGCAGUAAACGGUGCGCGUUUGGUGUGGGAGGAUUCGACCCCUUCCGUGCCGGAGCUAACACGUUAAACGCGCCGCCUGGGGAGUACGGUCGCAAGAUUAAAACUCAAAGAAAUUGACGGGGGCCCGCACAAGCGGUGGAGUAUGUGGCUUAAUUCGAUGCAACGCGAAGAACCUUACCUAGGCUUGACAUGCAUCUCUAAGUCGGUGAAAGCCGGCGACUCCCGCAAGGGAGAAUUUGCACAGGUGCUGCAUGGCUGUCGUCAGCUCGUGUCGUGAGAUGUUGGGUUAAGUCCCGCAACGAGCGCAACCCCUGUGAUCUGUUGCUACCGGUCCGCAAGGACCGAGCACUCUGGUCAGACCGCCCUGUGAAACGGGGAGGAAGGUGGGGAUGACGUCAAGUCAGCAUGGCCCUUACGCCUAGGGCUGCACACGUACUACAAUGCCCAGUACAGAACGAGCCGAAGCCGCGAGGCAGAGGAAAUCUCAAAAACUGGGCUCAAUUCGGAUCGCAGGCUGCAACUCGCCUGCGUGAAGCUGGAAUCGCUAGUAAUGGCGCAUCAGCUACGGCGCCGUGAAUACGUUCCCGGGCCUUGUACACACCGCCCGUCACAUCAUGGGAGUCACUUGUACCCGAAGUGCAUGCGUCAACCGCAAGGAGACAGUGCCCUAAGGUAUGGGUGAUAACUGGGAUG
rnacentral:rRNA from 1 species